rnacentral:rRNA from 1 species
GGGUCUUGUACACACCGCCCGUCACACCACGGGAGUUGGAGACGCCCGAAGCCGAUUAUCUAACCUUUUGGAAGAAGUCGUCGAAGGGGGAAUCAAUAACUGGGGUGAAGUCGUAACAAGGUAGCCGUAUCGGAAGGUGCGGCUGGAUCACCUCCUUUCUAAGGAGA